AGAGUUUGAUCCUGGCUCAGGACGAACGCUGGCGGCGUGCCUAACACAUGCAAGUCGAACGGAGAAUUUCAAUAAGCUUGCUUAGCGAAAUUCUUAGUGGCGGACGGGUGAGUAACGCGUGGGUAACCUACCCAUAAACCCGGGACAACCCUUGGAAACGAGGGCUAAUACCGGAUAAUCUUAAGGUUUGGCAUCAAACCUAAAGAAAAGGUGGCCUCUAUAUAAAAGCUGCCGAUUAUGGAUGGACCCGCGUCUGAUUAGCUAGUUGGUGGGGUAAAGGCCUACCAAGGCGACGAUCAGUAGCCGGCCUGAGAGGGUGAACGGCCACACUGGGACUGAGACACGGCCCAGACUCCUACGGGAGGCAGCAGUGGGGAAUCUUCCGCAAUGGACGAAAGUCUGACGGAGCAACGCCGCGUGUAUGAAGAAGGUCUUCGGAUUGUAAAGUACUGUCUUUGGGGAAGAAUGAUGUUUUGGCGAAUAACCAGAGCAGAUGACGGUACCCAAGGAGGAAGCCCCGGCUAACUACGUGCCAGCAGCCGCGGUAAUACGUAGGGGGCACGCGUUGUCCGGAAUUAUUGGGCGUAAAGGGCGAGUAGGCGGAUAAUUAAGUCCGGUGUGAAAGAUCAGGGCUCAACCCUGAGAGUGCAUCGGAAACUGGUAAUCUUGAGGACAGGAGAGGAAAGUGGAAUUCCACGUGUAGCGGUGAAAUGCGUAGAUAUGUGGAGGAACACCAGUGGCGAAGGCGACUUUCUGGACUGUAUCUGACGCUGAGGAGCGAAAGCGUGGGGAGCAAACAG
rnacentral:rRNA from 1 species